GAACAGCUGGAGCUCAGUCAGUAGAGCAUGAGAAUCUCAAGGUCGUGGGUUCGAGCCCCACAUUGGGCA